GGGGCGGCCGGGAGGGAGGAGGCUGCUGUGCCGCCGAGGACCGCGACACUGCUCCUCUGCACCGAAGGCCGGUUGCUUUUGGUUGCGGGUCACUCUCCCUGAGUUGCACACCUCGGAAACUAGUCGUGGGGGGUACUUCGUAGGGCAGGAAGCAGCAGGCAGACGGGCGGCCCAGGGAGGGAAGGGUAACGCUAGCGCUGGGACGGAUGGGCCGGUCGGAGGCAGCGCUUCCACCUGGCGCUCAAAAGGCCGCGUUUUAUGCAUAAAACAAAGGAGAGGUGUACCCGAGCCCACUCUACAUAGGAAAAAAGUGUACUUUCUUAUAAAGACUCGCUCCAAUCGCCCCGCUUUUCUAGUCGCCUGGACGCGAAGCACACAAGUCCCCCACUGGCAAAUCAAAUUAUCUAGGUCGGGCAUCACAAGAAAAGUGAAUGGGUAACCCAAGAAAGCCUGCACGUAGGGGACGUGGGAAAAUCGGGCAGUUGUGUCAGUGCUUCUUUUUCUUGUCGCUUUCCCACUGGGCCCGUCCACGUCCCAGCGCGGCCCUGUGACGUUAGCACGGACACACCCAGGCCUGGCUCCUAUCGCCCCCUGGCUUGUGCCCUUAGAUUUCCAGGGCUGAGGCGCAGGGCCGCGUCCCCGAGUGGGCAUGCGCGGCGGCGGCGGCGCGGGGGACGCUCUAGCGUGAUUGGGCGGCCGGGACUCACGCUAGCCAAUCAGGAGGGACGCGCGCUGGAGAGACGCUCCCUAAAAGUUUGCUCCACCUUCCACGGUCUUUCACCUGGACCCGGCCAGGAAAAAAGGCUCUUUGAAGUGGUUCUCGCCUCAACUGCUGAGUCCCCGGGACUCUGACAAAGCGCUAACCAUCUCAACACAUUGCUGACCAAAGCAGUAGAUGGAAAGAAGGCUCUGGAGAACCUCACACCAGAAAUUAAAUGCCAUCCCAGGAAUAGACAUGUGACAACACAGAAGUCAAUCACCAGAUGCCAGAGGUGAAGAGCCAGAAAUAUUCAUGGUAUGAUGGAACCAGUUCCUACCCACUCGUGAAGGCCAGUCAAGCACAUCUCUUCACAGCCCAGCAGUCAUGUCAUGUUGGUGGCCAUGGCAUGGGUGUUUGUACCACAGUGAUUGGCAAAUGCUGCAAAUCAGGACUACAGGACUUAGGUGUUAUUGGAGUGCUCCUCCCCUAGGCCUGUGAAAGUGCCUCAGGAGCUAGCUGCGUAUCACAUUAGCAGCAAGGUCUUCUGUUCCGGUCCCUUGUUUCUGUCUACUGGCUUACAACCCACCAGAAGAAGGUACUUGGAUAUUACAACUGCCCAUGAACUCUCUGAAAAUACUGUUUCUCUGUCUAGGAGAUUGUUCAUUACUGCCCCCAAACCUGCAAAACCUCUAGAUGUCAAACAGCAAAUGUGUUCCCUCCAUUAUCUCCUGUGCAUAAAAGGGAGACUGCCCCUCUCCAAAUCCUGGUUGCACUUGGGUCACCGGGGACCCAGAGCAGCUCUGCUUACUCUGUGGGUCUUGGAAAUUUCUUUUGAAACAGCUUUUGCUUCAGCUCUCAGAUUCCCUAAACUCAAACAAGAAACUACGUGGAACCAAGGUGCAAAGCAGACAGUACACUGCCCUCUCUACCCUUCUGCCUUGCUGAAAACUACGCCCUACAUCUAGCCGAGUAGGUGUCGGGGAGGUCACGAGCCAGCCUGCUUAUCAGACAUGCCUGCACUUUUUAACCACAGCCAGAGAACAUCCUCUCCCAAUAUUAGUUUUAAUAAUUCAGAUUUCUCAUAUAUAAAAAUUGCCUUUUUUACACCGAUGGAUAAACACAUUAAAUCCUUUUUCUAAUCAAUGAACAAAGUCAGACACAUUUUAUGGGAUUUUUACAUGGUAAAUUACUAUAGAGUUGGGAUUCAGCAACUUGGCUUUAACUCCUGACACUAGAAUAACUAGUCGAAUGGCCCCACUUAGAUCAUUUCUUUCUCUGGGACUGUUUUUUCUUCAGAGGCUUGGAUUUCCAAAUAAUUGCAUUAUAAAGUCCUCUGGAUUCUACUAAUUUUUAUAAUUUCAAGAGUUAUUUUAUUAUUUCAAAUUAUUGGGAGGUUUGCAAAUUGUGUUUUCAAAGAUGGCUCCACCAAUAUGUUCCCCAUCCCACAUGCUCCUCUUACAAUGUGACAUUAGCAGGCUUCCCCUCAGAGGUGAAGUUAUUUCCUCUCUUUUGGAUUUCUGUGGCUUUCUGGACCAUAUGAAUGUGCCAGAAGUAAGGCUGCUUGAUUUCUGAGGUUAGGGGUCAUACAUGGCAAACUAGUUUCAGUGUUCUCUCUCCCUCUCUCUCUCUCCCCCACCCGCCCAUCUCUCUUUCUCUCUCUCCCUAUCUUAUGCUUACACUUAGAUCCCAGCCACCAUAUUGUGAGAAAGCUCAGGCCACACAGAGAGGCCAAAUUGGUGUUCCAGCCAAUAGCCUCAGGCCCCCGACUGAUAAUCACCAGCAAUUGACAGACAUGUGAGUGCAUGAACCUUCAGAUGAUUCAGCCUUCAGUCUUCGUCUCUUCCAGCUGAGACCUCAUGCAUCGUGGAGCAGAGAACAGUUGAGCCUAUGGUGCCCUUUCUGAUUCCUGACCCACAGGAACCAUGAGAGAGAAUAAGUUAUCAUUAUUAUUUUAAGCCAUUAAGUUUUGGGGUAAUCUGUUAGGCAGCCAAAGUAACUAGAACCUGGUAUAUGAGAAGCUAACAUGUAUGAAUUGCCUGCAUGUAUGUGCCGGGCACUGUGCUAGGCCCCUGAUGUGCAUCAUUUCCUUUAGUCUGCACUGUGACUCGAUAUUUACCAUUAUACUGUAUUAUCAGGCAUAUCUGUGAUUUAUUUUAUAUCAAAUUUUUGAUCAAUAAUACAACUCCUAGAUGUAACAUUGCCCCUUGAGAAAAAUAAUUAAUACUGUAAGAUGUUCCAUUUCCUAGUGCUGUUCCCAGAAGUGCCCCAUGCUGCCUGAGUCAUUCAAAGGAAAAACUACUGUGAAGUAACGAAAACCCAUUUCAGGGUCGAUGCUCAGAGAAUCAUGUUUUGAUGUUGACUGAAGCCUGAAAAAAAUUUUUUUUUUAAUGAUUAAAAUUGAACUCUACACUGCCUUCCAUCUCUAAGGUUUAAUUCUGUAAAAUUAUCAAUAUAUUAUUUUUCAGAUGCUUUUUGAAAACAUGAGUUUUAGUUCUUGUUAUAAAAUAUUCCUUCUGCCUCUUCUCUCGUAAUAACUAAUAUCUAUUUUUCUUAAGCUUUGUUACAGGUAAGAAGCAUAAAAAAAAGUGGUCAAAUGAGAUGGAGGUGUUCACUCUUAUAAUUUUUUUAAAAAUACAUUUUUAAAGACCCUGAUUUUUUACAGAAAUGCAUCUGGGGCUUAUAGUGUUUGAGGAGGAUACUUAUUUCCCCAAAUCAGUCUCUGUUAUACAAAAAUAAAAAUAGUAAAUAUAGCAAUAUAGUAUAGAUAUGCAUAUAUAUAUUAAUUUUAUGCAUUCAUUAUGACUGGUGCUAAUUAGUAUCAGACAAAUUUUUUUAAUUAAAAAUUAUUGAGGUGACAUUGAUUAAUAAAAUCAAAUAAGUUUCAAGUGUA